rnacentral:lncRNA from 10 species
UGAGCCUGCCAAUAUGAGCAAUGCUGUCUCUUGUACUGAGGCUUAGUGUAACGGGUUCUGCCCACAAGGGAGAUUUUGACUUAUUGCUGUCCUCAAAAUGAAGGUGAUGUGACACUUUUGCCUUGGACCCACCCUUGAAGACAUUGUGACAUAUUUCUUAGCUCAGCAUCAAAACGAUGUGUCUUCUUAGUAGACUCUGCCAACAUGGGGCAUUGUGACAUAUCUUUGGGCCCAUCAGCUAUUGAUGUAACUCUCUUCUCUUACAUGGACUUUGCUCACAGAAGAGACUAUGAAAUAUCUCUGGGCCCAGCAAAUAGGUGAUGUGACUCUUCUCUACUGCUUGGGCUCUGCUCAUGAGAAAAUUGUGAUGGAUUGCUGAACCCAGCACCUAGGUAAUGUAACUCUCUUCUCUUGCCUGGGCCCGGCAUAAAUUGUGUAUUGUGACAUGGGGCUCGAUCACAAACCUAGGUAAUGCUACUCUCUUGCAUUGGCUCUGCCCACCAGGGUAUUAUGACACAACUUUUCAUUCAUCGCCUAGGCGAUGUGACCCCCCGCUUCUGCUUGAAUCUUGCCAAAAGAGGAAAUGAUAACAUAUCACUAUACUCAGCACCUAGGUGCCAUGACUUGCCUUUUUCCCCAGGCAAUGCAUAUAUUGGGAAUUAUGACAUAUCACUGGACCCAACAUGUAGGGAAUAAAAGACUCCUGCCUGUGUUCUGCUGACCUAGAACCUUGUGAAAUAUCUCUGCAUCUAUCACCCAGAGAAUCUGACUCUCCUUUUCUGCAUGUACCCUGUCC